UACAGAGGUCUCAAGCGUUGUUCGGAUUCAUUGGGCGUAAAGGGUGCGUAGGCGGCGCGGUAAGUCGGGUGUGAAAUCUCGGAGCUUAACUCCGAAACUGCAUUCGAUACUGGCGUGCUUGAGGACUGGAGAGGAGACUGGAAUUCAUGGUGUAGCGGUGAAAUGCGUAGAGAUGUGGAGGAACACCAGUGGCGAAGGCGACUCUUUGGCCUGUAACUGACGCUGAGGCGCGAAAGCGUGGGGAGCAAACAGG
rnacentral:rRNA from 1 species